AUUCUUUUGCAGGGGCAAUAUUGUAGCUUAUGAGGUGCAGCCGAGCUGUGAUUAUUGUUGAUUGAAAACUUUACCCAAUACCCCACCAGGGAUUUGAAAUGCAGUCAGCCUUAGGAAAUUUUUGCCAGCUUGUCUGGAAG
rnacentral:snRNA from 1 species